GGAUGUGAGGGCAAUAUGGCUGUGGUAUCUGUCACCCUAGGGUUGACGUGGCUGAUCUGGCUGGCUAGGUGGGCGUCCCCUUCCUCCCUCACUGCUCCAUGCGCUUCCCUCCUGAAGCUGCAGGCUUGGUCAAAGAGGACAACCCUCCCUGAUAGAGGAGAACUGUUCUUCAGUCAAGGGUAUACGAGUAUCUGUGUUCCCCUGCUAAAACCUCUGAACGAGCUCUCAAGAAAGUAAAGAAACAACUCACAGAAUGAGGAAAAAAAUUUGCAAAUUAUUUAUCU
rnacentral:snRNA from 1 species